UCUAUGUAUCCUGUACCCUCAGAUGAAUAAACUGAGUCAGUCUUUACUGAUCCGCCUGGCCCAUGUCUUUCUUUAUUUCGCACUCUUCCAUUCAGUGCAGUAUUUAAUUGCUGCCAACAUUUGGUGCCUGAAUAAGGACUUGAAAGUACGAGAAGAGCAGUCCUCUUAGUGUUCCGGAGAAAAAGAAAACCCUUGGCAGCUCUAUGCUGUGGAACAAGGUCCUUGGGAGCUCAACACUGUGGAAACAAGAAAACUUUGAUAAACCUGUCUGGAUACCAGAGAAAGAUGUCAGAGCAUGUAUAACAACUCACAGCUCUAAUGCAAAGUAUGAGGAUUCUGGGAAAGCACAGAAGGAGCCAAUCUACAGUGAUCAGUUGCCUUCCCACAUGGGGUCAAGUGAAAGCUCCCUGUCUUUGAGUGACAAAAGACUCCUGAACUUGUAUUUUUAGUAAUAGUAGCUUUACU